rnacentral:lncRNA from 1 species
UGAAACAUUCAAAAAAAUUCUUAAAUUAGGAAUUCACUAUAUAUAGAAGUUUGCUUUUACAUAUAAAUACGUUAGUUAGUCUAAAACUGCUAAAAAGAAGCAAAAACAAGAACCAUUUAAGAUCUUAUCAAACCAUGGCUAUCGAAAAGAGAACCAUGAUUGCCUCCUUCAUCGUCGUUAUGAUGAUGGUAAUGGUGAUCAUGACCGAAGUCGAGGCCAGGAACCAUGUUUCAGUCAAGCCGCCGCCUCCAAAGAAGAGGUUUAUCUUUUUCUAAAUCGAUGGCUCAUAAAGUUUAUGAGAAAAUAAAUGGUUCUUACAAUGAGGAGCUUCAAGCAUGGUUAAACUAAACUAUUAUAUUAUCAUUUUUUAGUUGUGGAUGGUUUACUUAUACAAAAGAAUAUUUUAUAUGUGAAUGAAAUGUAUACUAGUUUCAUAUUGCAUAGAUGAGAUUUUUAUUAUUGAAUCUCUCUAAAUAUUAACAAAAAUGUUCACUUAUUUAUUCUUUUAUAGAUAUCCUUAUUUAAUAUUACUAAAUUUGUGUUAUCAUGUGAGAUUUAGUUACGGAAUUGUGGUUCAUUUCAUUGUAAUUUCGGUGAUGUAUAACAACAACGCGAGGUAGAAGGCUGAAAAUUACGGGAAAUGGCCUAUUAUGAUCUUAACAAAUUUUAUCGUGCCUUAUACGAUCCAAA